rnacentral:rRNA from 1 species
UACAGAGGUCUCAAGCGUUGUUCGGAUUCAUUGGGCGUAAAGGGUGCGUAGGCGGUUCGGUAAGUCGGGUGUGAAAUCUCCGUGCUCAACACGGAGCGGCCACCUGAUACUGCCGUGACUCGAGUCCGGUAGGGGAGUGUGGAAUUCCCGGUGUAGCGGUGAAAUGCGCAGAUAUCGGGAGGAACACCAGUAGCGAAGGCGGCACUCUGGGCCGUGACUGACGCUGAGGAGCGAAAGCGUGGGUAGCAAACAGG